AUUUAAACCCGAUUGAAGUGGAAAUACUUUUAAAAAGUAAUAACCUUUAAUAUCUUUCAUACUGAGGAACGAAGUAUCUGCAAGCAAUGAAGAGGAUUCUUCUUUCCUCAGAAUGACAGAAGUUUUUUUAAAGAUUGCAACGAAAGCGGGACUGCUU
rnacentral:sRNA from 1 species